AAUGAGGCUCCGGCUUGGCCAGUGCCAAGAGCAGCGGUUGUUGGAGUGUAACUGCCAUGCUCAGCCGCGAUGGCUGGGGCUGCCGGCCGCGUCGGAGGUCGCGCCCUGCGGCGGUUUCCCAUCGCCCUGCCUGUGGGCGACUUGAGCAACUUGCAUCUUAAGGAAGAGAAAAUCAAACCAGAUGCCAAUGGUGCUGUUGUCAAGACCAAUGCCAAUGCAGAGACGACAGAUGAAGAAGAGAAAGAGGACAGAGCUGCCCAGUCCUUACUCAACAAACUGAUCAGAAGCAACCUUGUUGAUAACACAAACCAAGUGGAAGUCCUGCAGCGGGAUCCAAACUCCCCUCUGUACUCGGUGAAGUCUUUUGAAGAGCUUCGGCUGAAACCACAGCUUCUCCAAGGAGUCUAUGCCAUGGGUUUCAAUCGUCCAUCCAAGAUACAAGAGAACGCAUUGCCAUUGAUGCUUGCUGAGCCAUAUUUUAGGGCAAGUCUGGUGGCUCAUGCCUGUAAUCCCAAUACUUUGAGAGGCCGAGGCAGGCGGAUCGCUUGAGCCCAGG
rnacentral:sRNA from 1 species